GCAGGGCACGGUGGCGUGUGCCUGUAGUCCCAGCUACUCAGGAGGCUGUGGUGGGAGGAUUGCUCGAGCCCAGGAGUUCUGGGCUGCAGUGUGCUAUGCCGAUCAGGUGUCGGCACUAAGUUCGGCAUCAAUAUGGUGACCUCCCGGGAGCGGGAGACCACCAGAUUGCCUAAGGAGGCGUGAACCGGCCCAGGCCGGAAAUGGAGCAGGUCAAACCUCCAGUGCUGAUCAGUAGUGGGAUCCCGCCUGUGAACAGCCACUGCACUCCAGCCUGGGCAACAUAGCAAGACCCCGUCUCU
rnacentral:SRP_RNA from 1 species